ensembl:lncRNA
GGGGACUGGAGUUGGGCUGUUGGGGGUAUUGGAGAUCUGGAGUUGGGCUGUUGGAGGGACUGGAGGACUGAAGUUGGGUUGUUGGGGGUACGGAGGACUGGAGUUGGGCUGACUGGAGGACUGGAGGACUGGAUUUGGGCUGUUAGGAGGGUUGGAGGACUGGAGGACUGGAGUUGGGUUGUUGGAGGACUGAAGGACUGGAAUUGGGCUGUUGGCGGUACUGGAGUUGGGCUGUUGAGGGGACUGGAGGACUGGAGUUGGGCUGUUGGGAGGACUGGAGGACUGGAGUUGGGCUGUUGGGAAGACUGGAGGCCUGGAGUUGGACUGUUGGGAGGACUGGAGUUGGGCUAUUGGAGGUACUGGAGGACUGGAGUUGGGGUGUUGGGGGGACUGGAUGACUGGAGUUGGGCUGUUGGGGGUACUGGAGUUGGGCUGUUGGGGG